AUUGAACGCUGGCGGCAGGCCUAACACAUGCAAGUCGAACGGAGUGGCGGACGGGUGAGUAAUGUCUGGGAAAGUGCCUGAUGGAGGGGGAUAACUACUGGAAACGGUAGCUAAUACCGCAUACUAUUGGAUAGGCCUAUGUCGGAUUAGCUAGUUGGUGGGGUAAAGGCUCACCAAGGCGACGAUCCGUAACUGGUCUGAGAGGAUGACCAGUCACACUGGAACUGAGACACGGUCCAGACUCCUACGUGAGGCAGCAGUGGGGAAUAUUGGACAAUGGGCGAAAGCCUGAUCCAGCCAUGCCGCGUGUGUGAAGAAGGUCUUCGGAUUGUAAAGCACUUUAAGUUGGGAGGCGUUACCAACAGAAUAAGCACCGGCUAACUUCGUGCCAGCAGCCGCGGUAAUAC
rnacentral:rRNA from 1 species